rnacentral:rRNA from 1 species
UACGAAGGGGGCUAGCGUUGCUCGGAAUCACUGGGCGUAAAGCGCACGUAGGCGGCUUUCUAAGUCAGGGGUGAAAUCCUGGAGCUCAACUCCAGAACUGCCUUUGAUACUGCGAAUCUCGAGUCCGGAAGAGGUGAGUGGAAUUCCUAGUGUAGAGGUGAAAUUCGUAGAUAUUCGCAAGAACACCAGUGGCGAAGGCGGCUCACUGGCCCGAUACUGACGCUGAGGUGCGAAAGCGUGGGGAGCAAACAGG